rnacentral:rRNA from 1 species
AGGACGAACGCUGGCGGCGUGCUUAACACAUGCAAGUCGUGGGGGGGGUAGCAAUACCUCACCGGCGAACGGGUGCGUAACACGUGAGCAACCUACCUCGAUGCGGGGGAUAGCCGGCCCAACGGCCGGGUAAUACCGCAUACGAUCUCUUGGAGGAGUCUCCGGGAGAAGAAACCCUUGGGGGACAGUUGAGAGGGGCUCGCGGCCUAUCAGCUAGUUGGUGAGGUAACGCUCACCAAGGCUAGUGACGGGUAGCGUGGUCUGAGAGGAUGGCCAGCCACGAGUUGGGACUGAGACGACCGGCCCAGACUCCGUAGGGAGCAGCAGGUGGGAAUC